rnacentral:rRNA from 1 species
AGCGAAAUGCGAUAACUAAUGUGAAUUGCAGAAUUCAGUGAAUCAUCGAGUCUUUGAACGCACCUUGCGCCCUUUGGUAUUCCAAAGGGCAUGCCUGUUUGAGUGUCAUU